CUCUUUCAGAUUCAAAAUCAAACAGAAAUCUUGAUUUUCCAAGAGAAAUACCUCGAACGUGUCCUGCAACAUUCCAGAUGUUUUGUUUAGGCAGGAGGGCCACCAUAGCAGAGAUGCUUCUUCCACCUUGGUGGAACAUGCGACCAACAAGGCUUCUUUUGUAUCUUGCGAUAAGGGUUGAGUUGUCCACCUCAGGUAGUAUGACAAUGUCAUCCUCUUCCUCCACGUCUCGCCCAUGGCGGAAAGUAACAGGUUGUACUUGAGAAGCCAUCAAUGCCUGAUAUAAUUCUUAGCGAAAAGCUAGACAGGGAAGGGGGAAGAACACAGGUAAAAAUUCGCUGAUGGAGACAUCAGGAAAACAAUCAAAGAUUUAAUUAGAAGAGAGGCGAUACCAAGUGAAAAGAGAACUACUAGGUAAACUUGAAGAAAGGAUUAGAUUGGUGAGUAUGUGCAAAAAGGGGACCAGCUCUUCUUAUCACACCGAAGCCUCACUCGGUCGGAACCUAGAAAGCAAAGGAAAAAGAAGGAAAGUUUCUUGUUUUAGAGAAAACAGAGUUGGUGAGAUCUAUUUUUUUGAAAAGGAUAGCUGCUUUUAGAAGUCUCGAGACAUGUGCCUGGGAGAGAAACCAAAGUCACGAGUUGUGACUUCUCGUCCAUCCUAACAUUCGUCUUAUAAACCUAAAAUUCUAUAAAAUCACAUGUGUCAAACAUUUUUGUCAACAAUAUGGAAUCGGUCGAUUUUGCCGGAAAGCUAAUAAUAACAAAAAGACUAGGCAUACUACUUCGGGCACUGUGAAGUAGAAAACUAGGCAUAUUAUUUUUU